AGCUUCUUUACAGUGCUGCCU
rnacentral:ncRNA from 2 species